UAAGGGCCGACUAAAACCCUACAUGGUUUCGUGACGAUGUUUAAUAAGCGAAGGAACGAAGUACCACCAACACCCCUCACCCGGUUGAACACUUUCAAGGCAAAUAUUUUGAUCGAGAUCAAUGAUAUGAAAGAUUUGAAGUGACCUUCAAGAAUGAAGUCAACUCCUAACACCAAGGACAUGAGCAAGUAUUGUGAGUUCCAUUGGGAUCACGAGCAUACCACAGAGGAUUGCAAGGCUCUGCAAUGGGAAAUCGAGGCCCUUAUUAAAAGAGGGUUCUUAAGUAAUUACCUUGGUCAUGAUAAGCGCCCAAGGGAUGAUCUCGAGAGGAGGAAAGAGCCUGAAGUUAGAGGCAGUGGUCAACCCACGGCAAGAACCAUUAAAUCAUCAUCGGAGGCAUAGCAUCUAAGGGAGUCACAAACGGCAGGCGAAAGCAGUAUGCCCAACAGAUGAUACACCUUGAUGCCUUUAUUUUAGGAACUGGAAGAUCUCAUUCGUGUUAAUCCGCAAUCCUCAAGUUCGAGAAACCAGCAGGUGCAGAUUUUUGGUAGCAUCAGUCAGUAUUUAGUAAUGAAUAGUUGACCAAAUAAUCCAUUUUGUAUUUAUAUUUUAAUAGUGAUAUUUUGUUUUGAAGGGUAAAGAAUGC
rnacentral:lncRNA from 1 species